AUACAGAGGGUGCAAGCGUUAAUCGGAUUUACUGGGCGUAAAGCGCGCGUAGGUGGCUAAUUAAGUCAAAUGUGAAAUCCCCGAGCUUAACUUGGGAAUUGCAUUCGAUACUGGUUAGCUAGAGUAUGGGAGAGGAUGGUAGAAUUCCAGGUGUAGCGGUGAAAUGCGUAGAGAUCUGGAGGAAUACCGAUGGCGAAGGCAGCCAUCUGGCCUAAUACUGACACUGAGGUGCGAAAGCAUGGGGAGCAAACAGGAUUAGAUACCCUGGUAUUCCAUGCCGUAAACGAUGUCUACUAGCCGUUGGGGCCCUUGAGGCUUUAGUGGCGCAGCUAACGCGAUAAGUAGACCGCCUGGGGAGUACGGUCGCAAGACUAAAACUCAAAUGAAUUGACGGGG
rnacentral:rRNA from 1 species